rnacentral:rRNA from 1 species
ACCUUAACAGCUAGCCCACCCUCAUGAGUUCAACAAACAACAUUAACUAAACCCAAAAUCACUAGUUGUGAAUCACUAAACCAUUCUCCCCCCAUAGUAUUGGAGAAAGAACGGGAACUUGGCGCCAUAGAAAAGUACCGCAAGGGAAAGCUGAAAGAGUGAUGAAACAGACCAGUGAAGGACUUUAUAAAGCAGAGAUUAAAUCUCGUACCUUUUGCAUCAUGAUCUAGCCAGUCAAAUUCGAGCGAAGUGAACUGUAGUUUGAAACCCCGAAACUGAGCGAGCUACCCCGAGGCAGCCUACUGAAGGGCUAACCCGUCUCUGUGGCAAAAGAGUGGGGCGACCUCCGGGUAGGGGUGACAGACCUACCGAGCCCAGUAAUAGCUGGUUUCCUGGGAGCCGAAUAGAAGUUCAGCCUUGUUAUUUCUCACACCAAAUUUGGUCAGACCUAUUACCGGCCCGAGAACAUCACAAGAGUUAUUCCGACGGGGUACAGCCCGUCCGAAAGUGGAUACAACCUUAAUAGUGGGUUAAAGAUCAAAAGUUUUUAAGGAAAAGCACCCAGGUGGGCCUAAAAGCAGCCAUCCUACUAGAAAGCGUUAAAGCUCAAGUGCUAAGCCCCAUUAAUUUCAACAAUACAAUCUUAUACCCCUUGAUUUACCAGGACCCCCUGCCCCCGCAGAGAAGAUUCUGCUAGUAUGAGUAAUAAGAGGGUUAGACCCUCUCGAUCACGCCCGUGUACAUCAGAUCGAACCCCCACUGAAAAUUAACGCCCCCAGACACAGAGGGAAUAGGAUUACUUCUGAUAAGAGCUAGCAAAGCCCCCCCCCCCCGAGCGUUGAUCCCACACAGGUGCGUGCCUCGAAAGACACAAAGUGGAAGAAGGAACUCGGCAAACCAAAGCCUCGCCUGUUUACCAAAAACAUCGCCUCUUGCAACCGCAGUAUAAGAGGUCCCGCCUGCCCUGGACGAAAGUUUAACGGCCGCGGUAUUUUGACCGUGCGAAGGUAGCGUAAUCACUUGUCUUUUAAAUAGAGACCUGUAUGAAUGGCACGACGAGGGCUUAGCUGUCUCCUUCCCCCAGUCAAUGAAAUUGAUCUGCCCGUGCAGAAGCGGGCAUGAUCCCAUAAGACGAGAAGACCCUAUGGAGCUUAAGGCACAAGGCAGCCCACGUUAAGAACCCCCUGCAAUGAGGAAAAAACUGAGUGGAGGCUACUGUAUGCCUUUGGUUGGGGCGACCGCGGGGUACCACCAAACCCCCACGUGGACACGGGGACCACCCCUAAAGCCAGAGCCACACCUCUAACUAUCAGAAAUUCUGACCAUACGGAUCCGGCAAAGCCGAUCAACGGACCCAGUUACCCUAGGGAUAACAGCGCAAUCCCCUCCUAGAGCCCCUAUCGACGAGAGGGUUUACGACCUCGAUGUUGGAUCAGGACUUCCUAAUGGUGCAGCCGCUAUUAAGGGUUC